AAGAAAGAAAAAGAAGAAGAAGGCUGUGUCGUGUUGUUCGGGCCGCAUCUUGGCCCUUCCCCGGCCGCGCCGCCGCCCCCCAUCCUCACCGUCGUCGCUGCCGCGCGUCCCUUCCCCUCCUCCGCCCGUGUGGCGCCUUCGCACCGCCGCCGUCGGUAUAAUUCCUCUUUCCCUUAUCGUAGUCUGACCAAUCUCUGGAAUCCACAAGCUUGGUGGUGGUGGGGGCCAUGGCCGACGCCGACGAGCUCGGCAGGAGGCUCGCCGCCGUCGCGGUCUCCGACUCCGACAGCGCAAACAACAACCUCUUCCAGGUGAUGCGCGCCGUGGAGGACGCCGAGGCCACCAUCCGGCAGCAGCUGGAGGAGAACAGCCGCCUCAAGGACGAGCUCAUGCUCAAGACGCGAGAGCUUGACAGAUUCAGGUCAGAGGCUACCAAGCCCACUUCUCUUGCCGACACCUUUUCAACUUCUCCCCAUGGGACCUCAACAUGCUUCGGUACCACUUCCUCGUCGCUCAAUUCCAGGACCGCUCUAGCUGAUCAGCACAAUGGACUCUUUCACCACACUGACCAAAUGCUGCACGAUGCCAUCAAGCUAAAGUACCUAGAUACCGACCAGUCUAAUGGAAUGCCCAGGAAACUAUCUGGGGAGCAGAGUGCGCCCGAGAGUCGUGUGCCGUCGCACCUCUCUACUCCGUCAUCUCGCUCCCUGUCUCCAACUAGGCAUCGCAAAGGAGAGUAUGAUCCUAAGUUCAAUCUACCUGGACAGUGCUUAUUGCCUGCUUCAGAGGCAAACUCUACCAUCAUGUGGAAACAGGAUCUUCUUGCUAAGGUUAAAGAACAUGAAGAAGAGAUCGCACAGCUCAGAAGGCAUCUUGCUGACUACUCUGUGAAGGAAGCACAAAUACUCAACGAGAAACAUGUUUUGGAAAAACGCAUUGCAUACAUGCGAAUGGCAUUCGAUCAGCAGCAACAAGAUUUGGUUGAUGCUGCAUCAAAAGCUUUAUCCUACAGACAAGACAUUAUUGAAGAAAAUAUCCGUCUGACAUAUGCCUUACAGGCAGCACAUCAGGAGAGAUCCACUUUUGUAUCUUCUUUAUUGCCUCUUUUGACAGAAUAUAACCUUCAGCCUUCUGUUCUUGAUGCUCAAUCAAUUGUUAGCAAUCUGAAGGUCCUGUUUAAGCAUUUGCAAGAGAAACUCGCUAUUACUGAGGAGAAACUGAAAGAAUCACAAUACCAGCUUACACCUUGGCGAGCUGAAUCUUCAAACAGUACAAAUAUUCCUGUGCAGGCGCCUUCUCAUCCUCCUGGAAAUGCAAUAGUUACCACUAGCAAAGCCAACCUUGACAUUGUGCCCCAGCAAGCAUAUUCUCAUGUACAAUCUCCUAUGUCCUCUCCUGUUCGUGCUAGACGUGAUUGGGAUCUGUUGGGGAAUGAGAACCAUCAGGCUAUCCCAAGUGAGGUUACUGCAGUAAAUACAGAGCAUGAAAAUGUUGGAACCACCUCUCCGUCAAGCAGCAACCAAAUUAAGAAGGAUGUAGUAGCUCAAGGAACUGAACAUGAUUCUCGUGCUGUCCGAUUUAACUUUGAAUCCAAGAAUCAGAAUCCGUCAUUCAAGGACCUCGUUAGGAAUGAUGUCCCAGAAAAUCUGGAGGGAGCUGAAACGCAUAUUUCACAAGAACCUCCUGCACAAUGGGGUCCGGAGGGCUCACCUAAUUUGGCAUCUGGUGUUGAUGAUGCGAACCCGCCAUACCCUUAUCUUCCUACUGUCCUUGAAGAGCCUAGUUCUUCUUUCUCUGAAGCUGCAGAUGAUGACCCACUACCAGCCAUAGAAGGGCUACGAAUCACAGGUGAAGCUUUUCCUGGAAGAGAGCUUCAAGCAAGUGGCUACUCUAUCAAUGGGACCACAAGUUGUAAUUUUGAGUGGGUACGGCAUUUGGAGGAUGGAUCAGUAAAUUACAUAGAAGGUGCAAAGCAGCCUUCUUAUUUAGUUACUGCUGAUGAUGUGGACUCUUUACUAGCCAUUGAAGUCCAACCUCUAGAUGACCGGAAAAGAAAGGGGGAGAUCGUGAAGGUUUAUGCCAAUGAACAAAAAAAGAUUACUUGUGAUCCUGAAACAAAGGAGCUCAUCAAGAAAAUUCUUUCAAUUGGGCAUGUAUCCUAUGAAGUUCUGCUGCCUGUUAGGUUUCUAGAUAUGUGGGAACCAGCUGUAUUGGCAAUAAAGAGGGAAGGUUACAGCAUUAAGUGUAAUGGCCAGCGUGGUGUUGUUAUUACAGAAAAAUUCCAGCAAGCCACUGCUAUCAAUAUCCCAUAUGGGCGUCCUACUGAAUUUUCUAUAUUGGCUGCUGAUGGUGCUGAAUACAAUCUCAAGCCUGCAGAGAAUGCGCCAUCACGAGAUACCAUUGUUCUAAUCUUGAGGCUGUUCAGAAUGAAGUGCACACUCUGUUAGUUAAUCACGGAGCAUGGGAUUCUCAAGGAUUGAUGGUUAGUUUACAAUCCCAAGUUUGUUGGAGUGGGAAGUGCCUAGUAAGGGCCGACCAGAAACCACCACCUGCAACCUAGCCAUAACAGUGGCAGUUGAGAAGAGUAAAGGAAGAAGGAAGGGCAUAUUCUUCAAGUAGAUUGUUGCUGCUGGCAGUUUGUAAUUGGAUUCCAUGGUGUUUGUUGUUUCUUGUAUGUAUGUAGAGGGAGCUCGAAUUUGAGAGUUGAGUCCGCUGUUGUAAAGGAUUCGUCGUCAUUCGUUCAAUUCAUAGGCUCAAAUUUUGUUGUAAAGCAAGCUGAAGGAACGAUGUUGCAAACAAAAUACUCGUGCAUUUUGGCAUGGCUAAGUGCAGUUGAAUUUGUAUGUAUAUCA